rnacentral:rRNA from 1 species
CUUGGUCAUUUAGAGGAAGUAAAAGUCGUAACAAGGUCUCCGUUGGUGAACCAGCGGAGGGAUCAUUACCGAGUUUACAACUCCCAAACCCAAUGUGAACGUUACCAAACUGUUGCCUCGGCGGGGUCACGCCCCGGGUGCGUAAAAGCCCCGGAACCAGGCGCCCGCCGGAGGAACCAACCAAACUCUUUCUGUAGUCCCCUCGCGGACGUAUUUCUUACAGCUCUGAGCAAAAAUUCAAAAUGAAUCAAAACUUUCAACAACGGAUCUCUUGGUUCUGGCAUCGAUGAAGAACGCAGCGAAAUGCGAUAAGUAAUGUGAAUUGCAGAAUUCAGUGAAUCAUCGAAUCUUUGAACGCACAUUGCGCCCGCCAGUAUUCUGGCGGGCAUGCCUGUCCGAGCGUCAUUUCAACCCUCGAACCCCUCCGGGGGAUCGGCGUUGGGGAUCGGGACCCCUCACCGGGUGCCGGCCCUGAAAUACAGUGGCGGUCUCGCCGCAGCCUCUCCUGCGCAGUAGUUUGCACAACUCGCACCGGGAGCGCGGCGCGUCCACGUCCGUAAAACACUCAACUUCUGAAAUGUUGACCUCGGAUCAGGUAGGAAUACCCGCUGAACUUAAGCAUAUCAAUAAGCGGAGGA